rnacentral:other from 1 species
ACCGGCCUGCAAAGCAGGUGCGCGAUCCACGCUGGUUGAACCAACAUUCAUUGAACAGGGGCCUGGCUCGUAUACAUGGUUCGGUGUGCAAAGUCCGCCAGUCCGGAAUGCCUAAAGAACCACGGCAGGGUCCCGCCGUCUUAGGACGGGUUCACCAGCGCAUCGGCGCACGGCCCCGCGGGUCGGUU